AAGACAAUUCUUUUAAGGAUCAUUUCCAUAGUCUGUGACUGGAGAAAUCGUGCACUAAAGAAUUUGGUCUCACAACCACGAGGAGCUGUGGCGUUUUUUCCCUGUGCGCGAAGCAGUCCGCAAACUUUGUUUUGUACAAUAGUUUGUAGGUAUUGAUGACCGUUCCCUUCUCCCACUGCGGGAGUUGUGGAGGGAGGAAACGCUGUCUGAGUGGU